GCGAUAUACUUGUGUGUCUUAAUAGUCUUAUUAGAUAGCUUAAGAUCUACGACGUCGACGUCAGCUAGGACGUCAGGGCUAAGCAGAGGACUGGGAAUAGGACAUCGUCCUAAAUAAGUCGAUAGCUAAGUAUCUACGACGUCAAAUAUUUAGGGCGACAAGCGGAAGUAAAUUGGUAAUAGUUUUUGAAGUGUGCACGUGUCUCCCUCAAUUUGCCCGCCGUCCACCAAACGUCGACAACCUCACAACAAGAGUUUUGUAGUCUUGGAUACAAAAGCAUAACAAACGG